rnacentral:rRNA from 1 species
GACGGAGGGUGCAAGCGUUGUUCGGAAUUACUGGGCGUAAAGCGCGGGCAGGUGGCCUUUUAAGUCCUUUGUGAAAUUCCGGAGCUCAACUCCGGAUGUGCAUAGGAUACUGGAAGGCUAGAGACUGGUAGAGGCGAGCGGAAUUCCUGGUGUAGCGGUGGAAUGCGUAGAUAUCAGGAGGAACACCGGUGGCGAAAGCGCUCAUCUGGCCCGAUACUGACGCUGAGGCGCGAAAGCUAGGGGAGCAAACGGG